GACGUAGGGCGCGAGCGUUGUCCGGAUUUAUUGGGCGUAAAGAGCUCGUAGGCGGCUUGUCACGUCGACCGUGAAAACUCGCAGCUCAACUGCGAGCCUGCGGUCGAUACGGGCAGGCUAGAGUUCGGUAGGGGAGACUGGAAUUCCUGGUGUAGCGGUGGAAUGCGCAGAUAUCAGGAGGAACACCGGUGGCGAAGGCAGAUCUCUGGGCCGUAACUGACGCUGAGGAGCGAAAGCGUGGGGAGCGAACAGG
rnacentral:rRNA from 1 species